rnacentral:piRNA from 1 species
UGGAAGUGUCAUCCUCUGCUAAGCUAGUUCU